rnacentral:rRNA from 1 species
AAAAUUAUUAUAUUAAUUAAAUUAAUUUAAUAGUUUCUUUUUAAAAAUAAUUUCUUUUUAAGUAUGUUUUAUAGAAAAAAUUAAUUUAUAAUUAUAGUUUAUUGUAUUGUAAAAGAUUAUUUUAUUAUUUUAAAAGUAAAAUUUAUUUUUUGUACCUUUUGUAUCAGGGUUUAUUAAUUUUAUUUUAUUAAAUUAAUAAUUAUCCCGAAAUUAAAGGAGAUAACUUUAUAUGUUUUUUUACAUGAUAAAUUGAUUUAUGAUAUAUAGUUAGAGGUUAAAUGCUAUUCAACUUUAAUUAUAUCUGGUUUUUUAAUAAAUGAAUUCAAUUCAUAGUUUAAUUAUCUUAUUAAAGAUUUUUAUUUUAUUUAAUUUAUUAAACUAAAUAUUAAUGGGGAUUAGCUCAUUUUUAUUUAUAUAACAUUUAUAUAAUAAUUAAUAUUUCUAGGAUUAAAAACUUCCAUUAAGAUAUUUCGUUAUAGUUAAUAUUAAUUUAAUAUUUAUUUUUUAAUUGUUUAUAUUCUUAUUAAAAUUAAUACAUAAAUUCUUUUUGUAUUGUAAUAAUGAUAAAAUUAGUAAUUUUAAUAUAUUAAAUAUAGGAACUCGGCAACUAUUAUCCUCGCCUGUUUAACAAAAACAUGUCUUAUAGUUUUUAUUUUAAGUCUAGCCUGCCCAAUGAUUAUUUAAAUGGCUGCAGUAUUUUAACUGUACAAAGGUAGCAUAAUCAUUUGUCUUUUAAUUGGAGGCUUGUAUGAAUGGUUGGACGAAGGAUAAACUUUCUUUAUUUAAUCUUUAUGAAUUUAAUUUUUAAGUUAAAAAGCUUAAAUUUUAUUGUAAGACGAGAAGACCCUAUAGAAUUUUAUUAUUAAAUAUUUUAUUUAAGUGGAUUAAUUUUAUUUAUAUUAUUUGAUAAUUUUGUUGGGGUGACAGUGAAAUCUAUUUAACUUUCAUUUUUAUAUUUUCAUAAAUUUAUGUAUUUUAUGAUCCUUUAAUAUGGAUUAAAAGAUUAAAUUACCUUAGGGAUAACAGCGUAAUUUUUUUGGAGAGUUCUUAUCGAUAAAGAAGUUUGCGACCUCGAUGUUGGAUUAAAGUUAUAACUAGAUGCAGCAGUUUAUGUUUGUAGGUCUGUUCGACCUUUAAAUCUUUACAUGAUCUGAGUUCAAACCGGCGUGAGCCAGGUUGGUUUCUAUCUACAAUUUAUUUUCAUAUUUUAGUACGAAAGGACCAAAUAUGAAUAAUAUUUAUUAAUUUUUGAAUAUUUU